GAUGAAUAACGCAGCGAAAUGCGAUAAGUAAUGUGAAUUGCAGAAUUCAGUGAAUCAUCGAAUCUUUGAACGCACAUUGCGCCCGCCAGUAUUCUGGCGGGCAUGCCUGUCUGAGCGUCAUUUCAACCCUCAUGCCCCUAGGGCGUGGUGUUGGGGAUCGGCCAAAGCCCGCGAGGGACGGCCGGCCCCUAAAUCUAGUGGCGGACCCGUCGUGGCCUCCUCUGCGAAGUAGUGAUAUUCCGCAUCGGAGAGCGACGAGCCCCUGCCGUUAAACCCCCAACUUUCCAAGGUUGACCUCAGAUCAGGUAGGAAUACCCGCUGAACUUAAGCAUAUCAAUAAGCGGAGGA
rnacentral:misc_RNA from 1 species